rnacentral:rRNA from 1 species
AUACGGAGGAUCCGAGCGUUAUCCGGAUUUAUUGGGUUUAAAGGGUGCGCAGGCGGGAGAUUAAGUCGGCGGUGAAGUUUUGCAGCUCAACUGUAAAAGUGCCUUCGAAACUGGUUUCCUUGAGUGUAGAUGAAGUAGGCGGAAUUUGUGGUGUAGCGGUGAAAUGCAUAGCUAUUACGAGGAUCUACAAUUGCGCAGGCACCUUACCAAACUACUGCUGUCGCUCAGGCACGAAUGCAUGGAGGUUAAACAGGAUUAGAUGCCCUGGUAGUGCACGGAGUAAACGAUUAUUACUAGCUGUUUUCGAUACAAUGUAAGCGGCUGAGCGAAAGCGUUAAGUAAUAACGCUGGGGAGUACGUUCGCACGGAUGAUACUCAAAGUAAUUGAGGGGG